rnacentral:rRNA from 1 species
AUUGAACGCUGGCGGCAGGCCUAACACAUGCAAGUCGAGCGGAGCGGCGGACGGGUGAGUAAUGCCUAGGAAUCUGCCUGGUAGUGGGGGAUAACGUCAGGAAACGGGCGCUAAUAUCGCAUACUAUCAGAUGAGCCUAGGUCGGAUUCGCUAGUUGGUGGGGUAACGGCCUACCAAGGCGACGAUCCGUAACUGGUCUGAGAGGAUGAUCAGUCACAAUGGAACUGAGACACGGUCCAGACUCCGACGGGAGGCAGCAGUGGGGAAUAUUGGACAAUGGGCGAAAGCCUGAUCCAGCCAGGCCGCGUGAGUGAUGACGGCCUUCGGGGUGUAAAGCUCUGUUAAUCGGGACGCGGUACCGGAAUAGAAAGCCACGGCUAACUACGUGCCAGCCGCCGCGGUAAUAC